rnacentral:rRNA from 1 species
CAGCAGCCGCGGGAAUACGGAGGGGGCUAGCGUUGUUCGGAAUUACUGGGCGUAAAGCGCACGUAGGCGGCUUGGUAAGUUAGAGGUGAAAGCCCAGGGCUCAACCCUGGAAUUGCCUUUAAGACUGCCGAGCUAGUAGGUGAGAGAGGUAAGUGGAAUUCCGAGUGUAGAGGUGAAAUUCGUAGAUAUUCGGAGGAACACCAGUGGCGAAGGCGGCUUACUGGCUCAUUCUAGACGCUGAGGCACGAAAGCGUGGGGAGCAAACAGGAUUAGAUACCCCGGUAGUCCCUGUCUCUUAUAC